rnacentral:rRNA from 1 species
AAACCGGAGUGCUCGAGGCGUGGGCGUUCGCCGCCCGUACGUCCUCGCUGGGAAUAAUGGAAGAGGACCGUUGGUCAAAAAAGGUUUUUUGUCANANAGGUUGGAGAGCAAAAAAGUGGUUGUGCUGGUGGGAGGUUACAAAGGGGGGUGACUCCCUUUCUCUCGCUGGUCUUCCUCUUUCUCCUCCUCGAAACCUUCCUCCCCGCGUACCGCACUGUGGAUCGGAUGGCGCUUUAUGGCGGUAAGGGUGGUUCUAGAAAGAAAGGUGAAAGCAGGUGGCCGUUUGCCGGAAGGUGAAAGCUGGAUGGCCGGUCGUCUGUGGAAACCUGGACAUCUUUUUCCCCCUCGCUGUCGUGGCGCUUCCGUACCCUCGGUGUCAGCGGGAGGAGGUCGAAAAUCAAAAUAAAAAAACGUGUCAUGAUUAAGAGGGACGGCCGGGGGCAUUCGUACCGCGGCGCGAGAGGUGAAAUUCUAGGACCGUCGCGAGACGAACGAUAGCGAAAGCAUUUGCCAAGAAUGUUUUCCUUAAUCAAGAACGAAAGUCGGAGGUUCGAAGGCGAUCAGAUACCGCCCUAGUUCCGACCUUAAACCAUGCCGUCCGACCGCCCGCCAGGGUUACUACCGCGACUCGGCGGGCGGUGACUUUCCACCGGGAAACCCUUAAGCUUUCGGGUUCCGGGGGAAGUACGGUCGCAAAGCUGAAACUUAAAGGAAUUGACGGAAGGGCACCACCAGGAGUGGAGCCUGCGGCUUAAUUUGACUCAACACGGGGAACCUCACCCGGCCCGGACACCGCGAGGAUUGACAGAUCGAUAGCUCUUUCUCGAUCCGGUGGGUGGUGGUGCAUGGCCGUUCUUAGUUGGUGGAGCGAUCUGUCUGGUUAAUUCCGAUAACGAACGAGACUCUAGCCGGUUAAGUAGCCCGAGUGGCGUGUUGUUGAUUAAAAAACCGCCCUAGCGGCACUCGGGGCGCUUCUCUGAAGCUGUCUGGCUUUAACUGUGGUGGGACAGGGAGGUGGAAGAUGACGGUCGGGGUCGCGUGUGUCGUGGCUCGGAUCUAGUUUUUUUAACUUCUCUUAAAUCCCGUCGCGUUUCUGCCUUUCACUUCUGAGGACCUCUGUUUGCUUACCUGGGGUAGAUAAAACGUUAACGAGAGUCGGGGGACAGUGGACGUUACUCGUGGAAUGGGUGGGCGCUUCUUAAUGGGGCGUCUCCCUUCCCUGUUUCGCUUUCUGCUUUCCUCGUCAUCUCGCGCCACCGGCUUUCGAGUGCAAAAGCUUCUUAGAGGGACGAGCGGCGUUCAGCCGUGCGAGAUUGAGCGAUAACAGGUCUGUGAUGCCUUUAGA